GUGUGGUCCGAAAGUAGUGAGUUAUCUCACUUGAUUGUUCAUAGUCAGUUACAGAUUGAACUCCUCCUUCUGCUACUUUCCCCCUUCUCACUACUGCACUUGACUAGUCAAAA
rnacentral:Y_RNA from 1 species